rnacentral:rRNA from 1 species
CGCGUAGGUGGUUGUGUAAGUCAGAUGUGAAAUCUCGAGGCUCAACUUCGGAACUGCAUCUGAAACUGCAUGACUCGAGUACAGCAGAGGGAAACGGAAUUCCUGGUGUAGAGGUGAAAUUCGUAGAUAUCAGGAGGAACACCGGUGGCGAAGGCGGUUUCCUGGGCUGAUACUGACACUGAGGCGCGAAAGCGUGGGGAGCAAACAG